CUACGGGCUGCUCCAGUGGGGAAUAUUGCACAAUGGGCGCAAGCCUGAUGCAGCCAUGCCGCGUGUGUGAAGAAGGCCUUCGGGUUGUAAAGCACUUUCAGUCGUGAGGAAGGUGGUAGUGUUAAUAGCACUAUCAUUUGACGUUAGCGACAGAAGAAGCACCGGCGAACUCCGUGCCAGCAGCCGCGGUAAUACGGAGGGUGCGAGCGUUAAUCGGAAUUACUGGGCGUAAAGCGCAUGCAGGUGGUUUGUUAAGUCAGAUGUGAAAGCCCGGGGCUCAACCUCGGAACUGCAUUUGAAACUGGCAGACUAGAGUACUGUAGAGGGGGGUAGAAUUUCAGGUGUAGCGGUGAAAUGCGUAGAGAUCUGAAGGAAUACCGGUGGCGAAGGCGGCCCCCUGGACAGAUACUGACACUCAGAUGCGAAAGCGUGGGGAGCAAACAGGAUUAGAUACCCUUGUAGUC
rnacentral:rRNA from 1 species